UACGUAGGGGGCCAGCGUUGUUCGGAAUUACUGGGUGUAAAGGGUUCGUAGGCGGUGUGGCAAGUCGGGAGUGAAAUUUCUGGGCUUAACUCAGAACCUGCUUCCGAAACUGCUGUGCUCGAGUGUGGGAGAGGCGCGUGGAAUUGCAGGUGUAGCGGUGAAAUGCGUAGAUAUCUGCAGGAACACCCGUGGCGAAAGCGGCGCGCUGGACCAUUACUGACGCUGAGGAACGAAAGCUAGGGGAG
rnacentral:rRNA from 1 species